rnacentral:rRNA from 1 species
AUUGAACGCUGGCGGCAGGCCUAACACAUGCAAGUCGAGCGGUAACACAGGGAGCUUGCUCCUGGGUGACGAGCGGCGGACGGGUGAGUAAUGUCUGGGAAACUGCCUGGUGGAGGGGGAUAACUACUGGAAACGGUAGCUAAUACCGCAUAAUGUCGCAAGACCAAAGAGGGGGACCUUCGGGCCUCUUGCCAUCAGAUGUGCCCAGAUGGGAUUAGCUAGUAGGUGGGGUAACGGCUCACCUAGGCGACGAUCCCUAGCUGGUCUGAGAGGAUGACCAGCCACACUGGAACUGAGACACGGUCCAGACGCCUACGGGAGGCAGCAGUGGGGAAUAUUGCACAAUGGGCGCAAGCCUGAUGCAGCCAUGCCGCGUGUAUGAAGAAGGCCUUCGGGUUGUAAAGUACUUUCAGCGGGGAGGAAGGUGUUGAGGUUAAUAACCUCAGCAAUUGACGUCACCCGCAGAAGAAGCACCGGCUAACUCCGUGCCAGCCGCCGCCGUAA